CGCAGCCGCUCCGCUAGGCGGCCGGGUGCCCGCGCCGUGCUCAGAGCUCGGGACCCCGGGGCUCCGGGUCCCCAGUCGCGCUCCCCGUCCCGGGCCAGAGCCGCAGCUCGAACUGGGCGAGGAAGCCGGUAGCGUGGCCAGACCUUGUGCCCGCUGACCACUGGGGGCGUCUGGCCAGCAGGCGCUGAAAUGAACCCGGGACAAAGCAUUUCAACAGUCGCUCUUAAUUUAGCCGUGGUGAGAAACACUUGGCCCUCGGUUGAUCAAGAAAGCAGAAGAGCACCGGGCCGACAUUCCUGCACUCAGCUUCUCCAGCUGCGCGUCUGGUGGCCUUGACCCUGCUCCCGAAGAGAGGUGGACGCGGAACCUCAGAGUGCGGCCAGAGCUUGCGGCAGUGAGAGCUUACAGCGGGUAGCGAGAUGGACUAAAUCACCUGUGUGGGCUGGAGAAAAGGAGACCCUCUGGAAAAUGGUGAGCUUUCAGAGACACCUGGAAUGCAUGACCAAGAACAGACCUGCACACUGUUCACAACAGCCAGAAGCUGGAAACAACCCGAGUGCCCGAGAACAGACGACUGGUUGAAGAAACAGUGCAAUACUAUGCAGCUGUCAGGAGAGAUGAAGUCAUGAAAUUUGCUUAUAAGUGGAUGGUCAUGGAGAGUAUCAUGCUACGUGAAUUUCAGGUGAAUGCAAGCGGAGAAGUUCGCGCGUUGAGACUGGGCUCCUUUCCCGGGAGACGUGGAAGGGCCUCAGAACCAACCUGGAGGAACGGAGAGAGAAAACCAGGGAAGAGACGGCCUCCCGAGAAGACGCCUUGGCCCCUGGGCUCCGAAACUGAUCAACAAACAGUGGAGGAUGGGAAGGGGUCAGCAGUCAGACUAGAGAUGAUGUGAGCCAGUUCUGGACGGUCAGGGACACUUUGGUGGUGGUGGGAUGCAGUAGUGCAUCAUUAAAGGCUCUUGUAGGCCUGGAGAGAUAGCACAGGGGGGAGGUGUUUGCUUUGCAUGUGGCUGACCCAGAUUUAAUCUGAUAUCCCGGAUGGUCCCUCAAGCACUGCCUGGAGUGAUCCCUGAGUACGGAAGGAGGAGCAAGCCCUCAGCACUACUGGGUGUGACCCCCCAACCCUCUAACCAUAUCAUCUAACUGUAAAUAAAAAAUAUUGCAUAUAUACAUAUAAAUAUAUGCAUUUGGAAAUAGGGCCAUCAAGCCCCAGAGAGAAACAGAGAUUCUGAAAUCCCUAUUAUAUGCGCCCCAAUGGAAACCAAAAAUUUGAAUGAGAAACUCAGGGGAAAACCAUGAUAAAAUAAAUCCCCCAAAUUGGAACCUUGAACAUCUCCUAACUAUAGGCACAAGAAACAAACAAAAUGGAGGGAAAGGCAGACAGAUGGAGGAGAGAGGGAAAUGGUGGUUAUCACAGUCAUCCAGAGAACAAAGAUGUUUAAGAAGGGAAGGAGGGCAAUUAUCUUUAUUCAAAAGAUAAUCGAAUUAGAGCUGGAAAUUCAGAAUCGAUGGGUACUCUUACAAUGAAAAACGUUUACUUAUUUUUAUUUUUAAUUAAAAAAAAUUUUUUUGAAAAACUUUUAAUAGUGAGAAAAAGAUGAAGAAACAUUACCAGAAGGCUGAAAAUGUAUAUUAUUUGAGUGAAUUAAAAAGAUGGCUCUAAAAAACCAUCUUACGGGCAUCAAAGGAUCAAAGACACAUUGGUCUUGAGAACUCUCCAUACUCUGAAAAUUACUGUGAAUCCCUGGAAGUUUUUCAAAUGCUGGUUACAUUCAUUAAUAGUAGGCAUGUUUGAAAUGGAAAGCAAACACUUGGGAAAAAUACCAGGUCUGGAGAGAUAGUGCAGUGGCGAAAGUGCUUGCUUUGCGAGUUGCUGGCCCUCUGUGGUCUCCAUCACCGCCUGUGGCUCCCUGAGCACUGCCAAAGUGAUUCCUGGGUGUAGAGCCAGGAGACAGCUCUCAACCCAGCUCAGUGUGGUCUCCAAAUAAAAAAAUCAUUAUUAAUUUAUUUUAAAAUAACAAUUUAUCACAGGCAACACAUAACAUAUGUGUUGUUUGGGUUUGAGGGGAAGAUAGCUCUGUUCCCAAAACCAUCACCUCGUUAACGUUCCCUGUCCAGUAUCAGCGUGCGUAGUGCUGAUCAGGGAACCCACUUUUCUUUUUUUUUUUUUUUUUGCUUUUUGGGUCACACCUGGCGAUGCACAGGGGUUACUCCUGGCUCUGCACUCAGGAAUUACCCCUGGCGGAGCUCAGGGAACCAUAUGGGAUGCUGGGAAUUGAACCCGGGUCGGCUGUGUGCAAGGCAAAUGCCCUACCCGCUGUGCUAUUGCUCCAGCCCCCAGGGCACCCCCUUUUCUCGGAGCACAGCUGAAGCAGCCCACUCAGGUGUUUUAGUUUACCUUCACGCGUGAAGAGAGUAUUCGCAGUGAGUCACUGGGUGAAAGCUACUUGCAAACCUGUCGAUUCCUAUCAUUUAGGAAAUGUGUGGACAUGCCCUUUGUCCCAAUAAGCCAAAUAGUGGACUCACUCCUGGCAGUCGGCGCUGCAGGGAGUGCCGGAGCUACCCGGGCGGGGGUCUUGCUUUGGGUGCAACGGAGGGGGUGGUUUCUGUUGGUUCUUGUAAAGAAGGGAGGUAUCUGGGAAUGCCGCGUGGGUGAUUUCUGUCCUGAAAAGGGGCGGUAAGACUAAUAAAUUUGGGAAUCUCUGGUUUUCAAAAAUGCAAGUAUCAUGCAUCAGGGGCAUGUGGUUCCCACCUCAAGGGCACCAUCAAAUCUCCAGUAUCCUGGAUGGACCCUCUGUAUCCCCUGCUUGGUGGCUCAGUCCUGAGGUCACUGUCCUUAGACCAGCUUCCCUGGACUCUGCCCCGUCUUCCCGAGAGACUUGUUCUAGCAUCGGUGAAGAGCUGGCUCUCUGCAGUUCUUACUUGCAUUUCCCUGGCGAUUCGUGGCACUGAGCACGGUUUCGUGGACUUGGCGAUCACGGACAUGUAUGUCUUCUCGGGAGAGAUACAGAUUCAGACAUUUGACUUUUAAUUGAGUUCUCUUUGUUACCUUUCGUGUACUAUUUUACUUGGUAUGUUGUACACAGAACAUAAACACGGACGUUUAAACUAGUUUAAGCGCACUGUUGUGUGACAGCGGGGUCGGUCCUACCACCCUUCUCCAUUCUCCCGGGUGGAAACUGUCCGCACUCAGUGCCCUCCCAUCCUCCCUGGCCUCCAGGACCUCACCACCGCCACUCCAGUCAGCAUCUCUGCCUCUGGUCACAUCGCUAGCGACCUCCUCCGUCAGUGGAAUCAGACCUUUGUUCUUUUGUAAGUGGUUUAUUUUGUGUAGCAUAAUAUAUUCGGGGUUCAUCCAUCUUGGAGUACGUGCCAGAACUGGGGGGAUGGCUAGGGCAGAGGUCAGGUGGGGCUGGGGAGGUUACCAGAGAUCGAACUUGGAGCCUCGCACGGGCAAGAAAAGUAGUGGUCUGCCAUGGCCCGGAAUUUGCUUUCUAAGUGAAGAAUACCGACUCCACGCCGGUGCUGACCUGUGACUCUCCUCCAUCACUGGACAGCGGGGAAUGGUAUUGCUCCACAGGUGGGCACAGGAGCAAGUACCUGCACAAGCAUCGCUCCCUUCUGUGGGCAUUAUUAGAAGUGGAAUUCCUGGAUCCCGUUAUUCUUUGCUUCACUUUAUGAAGAAUCGCCAUGCCACCUUCCAUAGUGGUCACUUUGGAUAUAAGUACCAGUUUAUAUUCCCCACAGAUAUGCAUAGGGGUCCCAAUUUCCCAGCAUUUACACAAAUGUUUGUUAUUUUCUGACUUCAUUUUGCUUGCUUAUUGUUGUUUUAUGAUAGUUAACAUGGUGACUAUAAAUUGAUGUUGAUUGGACUUUUUAUUUGCAGUUCUCUAACAAUUAGUCUUGUUGAGCAUUUUAAAUACAUCUAUUGGACAUUUAUAUAUGUUCUUUGGUAAAAUGUCUAUUUAAAUCCUUAAUCCAUUUUAGAACAUGUGUUCUUUAGCUUUUUAACAUUGUUAUAUUGUCUUUUAAAUUAUUGUGGUAUAAAAUUUCAA